UACGUAGGGGGCAAGCGUUGUCCGGAUUUAUUGGGCGUAAAGAGCGUGUAGGCGGCCAAGCAGGUCCGCUGUGAAAACUCGAGGCUCAACCUCGAGACGCCGGUUGAAACCAUCUGGCUAGAGUCCGGAAGAGGAGAGUGGAAUUCCUGGUGUAGCGGUGAAAUGCGCAGAUAUCAGGAAGAACACCCGUGGCUAAGGCGGCUCUCUAGUACGGUACUGACGCUGAGACGCGAAAGCGUGGGGAGCGAACAGG
rnacentral:rRNA from 1 species